AGGACGAACGCUGGCGGCACGCCUAACACAUGCAAGUCGAACGGAGAUUUGAGAGCUUGCUCUUAAAUCUUAGUGGCGGACGGGUGAGUAACACGUGAGCAACCUGCCUCUGAGAGAGGGAUAGCUUCUGGAAACGGAUGGUAAUACCUCAUAACAUUACAUGACCGCAUGGUCGUGUAAUCAAAGAUUUAUCACUCAGAGAUGGGCUCGCGUCUGAUUAGCUAGUUGGUGAGGUAACGGCCCACCAAGGCGACGAUCAGUAGCCGGACUGAGAGGUUGAACGGCCACAUUGGGACUGAGACACGGCCCAGACUCCUACGGGAGGCAGCAGUGAGGGAUAUUGCACAAUGGAGGAAACUCUGAUGCAGCGAUGCCGCGUGGAGGAAGAAGGUUUUCGGAUUGUAAACUCCUGUUUCGAGGGACGAUAAUGACGGUACCUCGGGAGGAAGCUCCGGCUAACUACGUGCCAGCCGCCGC
rnacentral:rRNA from 1 species